AGAUUGAAACAAAGAGCUUUUGUUCCCUGAAUGCUUUCCGAAGAGUUCCAGAGGACGGGAAUGGAAAUGGUGGCCUCCCAGUUUCCAGCCCGGAGGAGCGUGCUCAGGCCCCACUCUUCAAUGCGCUCUCAGAGAAUAGCGCCCAAUUACUCCCAUCUCCCUGGCCUCCAGCCGCGCUCCGAGCUCACCAUGCUUGGGACCGG